GGUGGCCUAAUGAUUAGAGCGUCCGCAUCGGAUGCAGGAGGUCAUGGGUUCGAUCCCCGGUAGAAUCA